UCCCCGUCAGACUGUCUGCGGAGGUAAUGCCGCUGUUCUUUGUCACGUCCCGUCCCCGUCAGACUGUCUGCGGAGGUACUGCCGCUGUUCUUUGUCACGUCCCGUCCCCGUCAGACUGUCUGCGGAGGUAGUGCCGCUGUUCUUUGUCACGUCCCGUCCCCGUCAGACUGUCUGCGGAGGUACUGCCGCUGUUCUUUGUCACGUCCCGUCCC